UACGUAGGGUCCAAGCGUUAAUCGGAAUUACUGGGCGUAAAGCGUGCGCAGGCGGUUGGGUAAGUCAGAUGUGAAAUCCCCGGGCUCAACCUGGGAAUUGCAUUUGAGACUGCACGGCUAGAGUGUGUCAGAGGGGGGUAGAAUUCCACGUGUAGCAGUGAAAUGCGUAGAGAUGUGGAGGAAUACCGAUGGCGAAGGCAGCCCCCUGGGAUAACACUGACGCUCAUGCACGAAAGCGUGGGGAGCAAACAGG
rnacentral:rRNA from 1 species